rnacentral:rRNA from 1 species
CAGUAGCCACGGUAAUACAGAGGGUGCAAGCGUUAAUCGGAAUUACUGGGCGUAAAGCGCGCGUAGGUGGUUUGUUAAGUUGAAUGUGAAAUCCCCGGGCUCAACCUGGGAACUGCAUCCAAAACUGGCAAGCUAGAGUAGGGCAGAGGGUGGUGGAAUUUCCUGUGUAGCGGUGAAAUGCGUAGAUAUAGGAAGGAACACCAGUGGCGAAGGCGACCACCUGGGCUCAUACUGACACUGAGGUGCGAAAGCGUGGGGAGCAAACAGGAUUAGAUACCCCCGUAGUCCCUGUCUCUUAUAC